rnacentral:tRNA from 1 species
UGCGGGGUGGUGUAAUCGGUAGUCACGUCGGGCUCUGGACCCGGAGAUCUAGGUUCGACCCCUAGCCCCGCAG